UCAGAUUAUUGCGGACACAUAUUCGUUAGCGAGGAAAAAUCAUAUAACUAAAGCCGGGAACGUGUUCUGGCCUUGUUUAUUCUCUUUGCGAUUCGCUGGACACUGAUAGCUCAUCUCCGCAAAUAUGAAAUCUAUAGUGGCUUUCCUUACUUGCCUUUGCGUCCUUACAAGCAUUUUGGCGAAUGAAGUGGAAAUACCCUCAGUGAUAUCUGAGAGAGCAGAACUUGUGGAGCCUUCGGGAAGAUCACGUCGUCUUGGAAAAGAAGGUCCAAUGAAACAAAAACAAAUAACCGGAAAAAAAGCGAGCCCAUUGAUCCUGGAUUGACCAUCAACGCCACAAAACAGAAUUAGGUGAACGACCCCUGAUUCCUCCAAGCAUGGAUUAAGAGAACACCGUUGCAUAACUACGAAAUAUAAUUCAAGUUCCUGUGAACAGCAUCAAUCUUGCACCAUGAAUAAAGAAGCACAAGAUAAAAAAUCA